CUUUCCAAAGCAAAGGAGGAAGGAUAUCCAAUGAUCCUGGGUUUGCAAAACUGUGUAGCAGCAAAAUACUUUGUUGGAAUUACUCAAAGGUCAGGGAAGAGCUUCCUCUUUGCUUAAAACCCUCUUCAAUCAGCUGACUUGAGCUUGAUUCAAGAAAAGGAACUUGAGCAUAUUUAAUAGGCUGAUACAUCAGGUGAUGCAGGGUACUCUAAUUUGGAUGGUGCAUCUCUUCACCACUUUAUUAGCAGUAUAAAAAGUUAUAUCAGAAGUUACUAUAAAUAGUCUAAUUAUUUUAUUCUCAAAUGACAGUCUUAAAUAAUAUAUUCCUUGAAUCAAAAUCAAUAUCUAAAUGCUUCUAGAUACUUGCAUUGAGCACGUGUUUUGAUUGUUUUAGUGGUUAAUAAUCAUGCUUCAAGAAGGAAGGUAGAAAUAGUAAAGAAAACAAAAGAGCAUUUGGCUGGAACAAAAGAGAAAAACAAGGCUUGAAAAUAUACCAUCCUCACUCUAAAUCUGUUCCUGGGAGACAUUUAAAAGUACAGCAUUUUGCAGAUCAGCUUAAAAGAGGGUGAUAAACAUAAUUUCCUCCUACUCUCUGUAGAAGUGCAUCAGGCCCUCUUAAAUACUUUCUGACUAGUGAUAGAAGUCAUAUCCAGACUGCAUUUUGAAAUCAAAGUAUUUUAAAUCAUUUUUAGAGACAUAAACAAGUGUUCAAUUAAUGAUAAUGACUACAGAUAACAAAAUGCACUAGUCCCAGAAUGAGUAAAAUUCCCCUGCUAUGAGUUCUUAAAUGUCACCUUCUGUUCUGCAUUUCCUAAGGUUCUCUCUCCCUGGAGAAGAACUUGUCACAUCAUCAAGUGUAUGGGGGAAGAAACACCAAAGCAGUAAGAAAUGAUCCACUGAUUGGAAGAGCAGUAAAGACGUGCUUGAGAGAAUGAGGGCUCUCAGCCCUUUGAAGCAGUCAGGGGAAUCUGGGUUAGACAGUGGCACCACCAGUCAUGCAGCCUGUGCUCAAACAGCUUUGCACCACAGAGCUUUCCUCCUGCAGCCUCGUGAAGACUGUGACGCAAGACUUCCGCAGACUUAUAAGUCUUUUAGAAAAUGCAUGAGCUGGAAUAACUGCUGCCCUGGAAUUUGGUCAAGAGCAGUGAAGUCUUGCAGCCUAUGCUGAAAUUUGCUAACUUAAAUCCAACAAAAAUAUAAAAAGAUUAAGGUCUGUUGCAGGCUGCCUGGUACUACUUGUGAUUCAGCCUCCUUUUUGCAGACAGGUUUUCUUCCAACCUACACACCAGGGAGGCGGUGAAACAACUUCAAUUCACUCAAUCUCGGGGACAUGGAGUCUAGAGGCAAUUUUCAGGAAUGUAUUACUGCAGAAAUCAUAAAAAAUCUCAGCACUGGUGAAAAUGAUUUUUCGAACUAGUAACUCUAGAAACCACAGCCAUGAGGAUGAGACCUGACUAACUACCUUAAGCUGAUCCAGAAUCCUUCCUUUGGGGAAUGAAAUGUCUGAGUCCUCUACAGAAUGAAAGAAAAGGAGAACUAAGGCAAAGCACUGAGCACAGGCACCUUCCUCUAGACCAGAUUACUCACGAUGCCAUCCAACCUGGUGUUGAACACUUCCAGGGAGGGGGCUCUCACACCUUCUCUGGGCACCCUGUUCCAGUGCCUCACCAUUCCACAUUUUAACAAGGACCUGUUUCUCUCUUCUGAAAAGCUGAAUAAACAGUGAAAUUAUUUAGCUAUUUGUCUAAAUACUCAAAGACUCACAGUGAGGAAAGAGUUCAUUUCAUGUGCAUGAUUGCAGACAGUCACCUCCAGUGUGGACUUGUGGUCCAUUUGUGGCCACACCAUUUUGCAACUGUUGAGAAAAGUCUUCUAUAUAUAACCCCGAAGUCACCACCUUGAAUGAUUAACCAUUCAGUUGCAUAUAGCAUCCACUGAGAGGGCUCACCUGGUACUUCCUUGGUGUCUAACUCCUAUUUUACUGGAUUUUAAAUACCAGCUCCCAUUGAAGAUUGCAGGCCCCCUGGAUUCAUGGUACCUGAAGGACAGUCUGGCCAUAAUAUCUCAUGACAGCUCCAUCCAUUGGAACAGCAACAUCAUGAAUCACAAGACUAAAACCUGGAGGUGCAAGAAGCAGAGUUUUCUUGGCAGCUGGCCCACUGAGCUAACAUUCACCUCUGGAAGAUGUCCAGAAAGCUUGACUUCUUAGCAACAGUAUAAAAUAGCAAUGAUUAUUCUGUCUUUCCUUCCUGAAAUACAGCCAUUUGCAAUGCAGACUGAAAAUGCAAAUUCCAGACCUGGGUUUACAAGGAAGUUUUCACUCUCUGUUAAAAGACCCAGUUGUCAGGUACCGAUACCUCAACCCUGAGUUACUAGAUAACUCCAUGCAUUGCUUCACAUGCAAUACAUGGAAAAAUGUAGGCUCUAGACAUAUGAUAUCCCCAAAUCUAGCUGGACAGGUGGCACAUGUUAGCCAACAGAAAUUGGUGAGAUAUAGAUCACAUCUCUUGCCUGUGUGGAGUCCCCUACUCUGGUAUUGGUUUCAAACCACCAGAUUUCACCUGGAUGUGAGUCCCUUCUGCCAGACCUUCU